UGUUACAAUGAAUUGUUAUGAACAGGAACUCAUGUCUGGAGGGAAACAGCAACGCAGGGAGACUGGGAGCUCUGCAACAGAAGCAGAGGUAAAUAGAAGAAGUUGGUGGAUGUGGAUAAACAAUGAGAGGCUUACUGGGUGUUGGAGAAUGAUCCGCUGAUGUCUGGAGAAUGAUUUGUGAUCUGCUUGCCUGCAGCAGAGGUGCAAACCAGAGUGGCUUGGAUGGCUGCGGUGCUGGACGGACAGGUAGUGCAGUAAGGAGGAAGCCAGUCGUGGAAGUAGUACUCCAGAGGUCCACAGGAAGCUUGGAACGGCAAAGGUGAGUCCACUAAGGAUCAUUAGAGUCCAGGCUGGUGUGAGGAUACCAGUGACGGUUAACACUCAGGCAAAGAGUGAAUGGCUUCCAGCCUCUUUAUCCUGUCAGGCUGAUUGCACCUGAUCUGCUGCACCUGUGAAGAGGUUUAGCAGGAGGAGGAGUGCUCAGCCAGCAGCUGACUGCAGGAGCCCUCUGGUGGAUAAGCUGCAGGACAAAAACAGACAGGCACAGAACCAACAAACCCCACAUCCUGACAUCAUCCCCCCCUCAAUGGCCGCCACCUGGCGGCCCAGACGAUUUGGAUGGUCUGGAAGCCUCAAAAUCCUCGAUGAGAGAAGGAUCCAAAACAAAAGAGCGGGGCGCCUAGGUACGUUCCUCAGGACCGUAAUCCUCCCAGUCGACGAGGUACUGGCAGCCUCGACCUCGCUGACGGGAGGCCACGAUCCUCCUAACGUUGUACGCUGGGCACAAGGUGCUCGAAUUAACCAGUUGAACCUGGGAGACGUGGAAUGUGGGGUGAAUCCUGAGACUGGGAGGCAGCUGGAGGCGGACAGUGGCAGGAUUACGAUAGACUGGAUCUUGAAUGGACCGAUGUAUCUGGGGGAAAGUUUUUUUAGAUAUGGAUUUUAAAUGAAUGUCACGUGUCGAAAGCCAAAUCUUUUGUCCUGGUUAAUAACUUGGGGCUGGCGUGCGUUUGCGGUCUGCGAUUCUCUUAUUCUGGUGCAGCGGUAUGAUUGAGUGCAGUUAUGGUGUUGGUCCAGAUGUUAUGGCAGCGACGGAUGUGGUGAUGGAUGGAGGUAAUGGAGAUUUCUUCUUCUGAAGGGAAGAGGGGUGGCUGGUAACCUUGGGAGUUCUCAAAAGGGUAAUAACCUGUGGCUGUAGAUACUUGUGAGUUGUGGGCGUAUUCUAUUCAGGGGAGAUGCUGGUUCCAGUCGGAUGGCUUGGAUGAGGUAAGACAUCGAAGGGUAGCUUCAAUCUCCUGGUUGAGAUGUUCUGUCUGACCAUUGGACUGGGGAUGGUAACCUGAUGUGAGACUAACCUUUGAACAAAGCGCUGAGCAAAAGUGUUUCCAGACUUGAGAGGAGAACUCAGGACCCUGGUCAGACAAAACGUCAAUGGGGAUCCCAUGAAGAUGGAAGACAUGUUUAACGAGGAGCUUGGCAGUCUGAAGGGCUGAACGCAGUUUCCUGAGUCAAAUGAGAUGACAAGCUUUAGAAAAACAGUCUAUGAUGGUAAGGAUGGUGGUCAUACCUUGGGAGGUGGGUAAUCCGGUGAUGAAGUUGAGUGCGAUAUGAGACCAUGGACAUUUGGGUAUGGCUACGGGUUGAAGUAGUUCCACUGGUGGUAGAUCAUUUGACUUGUUCCAGGCACAGAGAGCAGGCUUGAACGUAUUCUCUUACAUCUUUAAGCAAAGAUGGCCACCAAAACCUACAGGAAAUGAGGAUUAUGGUCCAACUGGAACAUGGAUGGCAGGUGAAUCUGGAAGUAUGUAAUGAAUGAAUGACUUGAGAACGAACAAAGGUGGGAACAUUGGUGGUACCUUGUGGAGGAGGCCUUGGAUCAUGUUCCUUCUGGAGGGCACGGGUGACGAUGUUCUCGAUCUCCCAGGUUAACGACCCAAUGAUGCAACUGGGAGGUUAGAUGGUGGAUUUUUCAGUGAUGUCUUAGUCUGGAGAAAACUGCCUUGAGUAAGCGUCGGGUUUGAUGUUCUUAGAUCUGGGGCGGUAGGAGAUCGAGAGGUCAAAUUGGGAGAAGAAGAGAGACCAACGUGACUGUCUGGGGUUUAGACGUUUGUCGUAUUGCAAGUAGAAAAUAUUCUUGUGAUCGGUCCAAACCAGCACCGGAUGUUCAGCACCCUCCAACCAAUGCUGCCACUCCUCUAUGGCUGACUUAAUAGCUAGGAGUUCCCGGUCCCCCACGUUAUAGUUCCUCUUCAGUGGGGUGAGUCGAUGGGAGAAGAAGGCGCAUGGGUGGAGCUUAUUGGCAUCUGACCAUUAGGAUAGUACAGCACUGACCCCCGUAUUGGAUGCAUCCAUCUCUAGGGUGAACUGUUUAUGGGAGUUGGGCUGUACUAAAAUGGGUGCCUUGGAGAACAUCUCUUUAAGUUGACAGAAAGCUCGUUCAGCCUCGUGUGUCCAUGAAAUGGUGUCUUGGUUGAAGUGAGUGACGUAAGGGCUGCGGCGAUCUGACUGUAGUUGCGGAUGGAUCUUCUGUAGAAGUUUGCAAAGCCUAGGAACCGUUGUAAUUGUUUUCUGGUCUCUGGGGGAUCCCAAUCUGUGACUGCUUUUAUCUUAGCGGGGUCUGCACAUACCUGUCCGCCCUCAAAAAUGAAGCCCAGAAAGGUAACUAUGGGUUGAUGGAAUUCACAUUUUUCUGCUUUGAUAUACAGUCGGUUUAGGUGGAGUUGUUGAAGAACGAGCCGGACGUGGCGUUUGUGUUCUGACAGGUUCCUGGAAAAGAUCAAAAUGUCAUGGUAGAAAAAAAUGAAAAUAUUUGGGAAAUCAUGGAGAACAUCAUUUAUAUGGGCUUGAAAAACUGAUGGAGCGUUGCAUAGUCCAAAAGGCAUGACCAGGUGCUCAAAGUGUCCGAUGGGGGUCUUGAAGGCUGUUUUCCAUUCAUCCCCCUGGCGGAUGCGAACUAGGUGGUAGGCAUUGCGGGCUUCAUGCAGAGGUUCCAAGGCUGCAGAGAAGAGUGGUAGUGGGUAUCUAUUCUUAACUGUGAUUUGAUUAAGGCCACGGUAGUCUAUGCAGGGUCGGAGGGAACCAUCUUUCUUUGGACACAAAGAAGAAGCCCGCCCCCAAGGGAGAGGAUGAAGGUCUGAUGAUGCCAGCAGCGAGGGAUUUAUUUAUAUAUUUAUGUAGGUCUCCAUGGCUUCUCGUUCUCGGGAAAUGUCGUAGAGACGACAGGUGGGCAAUGGGGCACCAGGUAACAGGUUGAUCGCACAAUCAUAAGGGCGAUGGGGAGGAAGGGAGCAUGCCUUGGACUUACUAAAAACUUAUUUUAAGUCCAGGUACACACAGGGAACUCCUUGAAGGUCUGGGCUUUCGGUAGGGGAGACCCUCCCCGGGGACGGGCUUGGAGAAACAGCACCUUGGAGACAAGAAGAGAGGCAGUCAGUGGACCAAGAUUCUAUGCGGUGCGCUUUCCAGUUUAUCUGGGGAUUGUGAGUAAGGAGCCAGUCCAUACCUAGAACUAUGGUGGGUUGAGAGGAGGAAAACACGUAGAAAGAUCUGAGUUCAUGGUGAUUACCGGAGGUUAUUAGAUUAAGGAGUUCUGUCUGAUGAGUUAUGGGAGGUAAGAGACGACCAUCAAGAGCUGAAGUUCUGAGGGGUGUUUGGAGUAUGGUUGUCUGGAGGUUGCAUUGGUCCACUAAGAACUGAGCUAUCAGAGAUUGUUCACACCCAGAAUCGUCUAGGGCACUGAGUUGGAGUGAGUUGUUAUAGAAAUGUAAAUUGAUAGGCAGGAGUAAAUGAUGGUGACUGUCAGUCUUAGUCUGGUCCACUAGUACCCCCAUCCUCACAGAUGGACCCUCUCAGGGAGCUGCUUCUUAACACGAACAGGGAAAGAGGCAAUGAAAUGGUCUGAAAUCCUACAGUAUAGACAUUGUUGUGACUGCAUCCUCUUCUGCCGUUCCUCCGGAGUGAGAUUGGGUCUGACCGACCUGCAUGGGUUCUGGGUCAGAGGAGGAUGGAGUCCUGGGUGGUGGUACUGUGGAGGAUGGAGACUGGUUGGGCAGGGAGUUGAAAGAGGAAUUUGCUCAGCGGGUAUUUCUCUCCCUAGUCCUCUCCCUAUGCAGGUGGCCAGGGCUAUUAAAGCCUCGAGACUGUCUGAUUCAUCAACCAGUGCUAACUCAUCCUUAACACCAUCAUUGAGUGCAUGAAAAAAGGAACUCUUGAGAGCACUAGAGUUCCAAGCUAACCUGGCUGCAUAGGUACGAAACUCUAUGGCAAAAUCUGCUACAGAUCUCUGCCCCUGUUUUAACUGCCAAAGUUCUCUGGAUAAGGAUGUCUGAUCAGUAUCUAAGCCAAAGGUUAACUUGAACUCUUUGACAAACUCUUGAAAGGAAAUAUGAAAACUUGGGUUAUUCUGAAAGUGGACCUCUGCCCAUCUUAAAGCUCUUCCACCAAGUAAUCCUAACACAUAAGAAAUCUUUGCGUCAUCUGAGGGAAAGGACUGGGGGGAGUGAGUGAAAAUCAGUGUACAUUGUAGUAGAAAACCACAACGGCCUACGUCACCUAAAAACCUAUCUGGCUUGGGCGGAGCCACGCCACGGUAGGCUGGUGGGGAAGGGAAGUCAUGGCUGGUUACCGUGGUGGUGGCUCCACCUUGAGACUGCAGUUGUGGAUUCUGUUCUUGGGAAGAAGAGAAAGAUUGCAGAACAGAGGAUAGUUGCUCGAGUAACUGAUUUGUUUUGUUUUGUUGCUCGGAGAGUGAACGAAGAAUGGAGUCAUGUGACUGGAUAAUGGCGGCUUGUUUGGAGAUGGUUCUCCGGAGAGCUUCUGCUGGGUCAGUUUGGGCCUGAGUGUUCUUUCAUUGUUUUGGGGAUAUUUCUGACCCACAUGCAGAAAGACUCUCAGGAGCGAAUAGAUCAGUUAAAGAGGUUUAUUGUUACAAUGAAUUGCUAUGAGCAGGAACUCAGGUCUGGAGGGAAACAGCAAUGCGGGGAGACUGGGAGCUCUGCAACAGAAGCAGAGGUAAAUAUAAGAAGUUGGUGGAUGUGGAUAAACAAUGAGAGGCUUACUGGGUGUUGGAGAAUGAUCCGCCGAUGUCCAGAGAAUGAUUUGUGAUCUGCUUGCCUGCAGCAGAGGUGCAAACCAGAGGGCUCGGAUGGCUGCGGUGCUGGACGGACAGGUAGUGCAGUAAGGAGGAAGCCAGUCGUGGAAGUAGUACUCCAGAGGUCCACAGGAAGCUUGGAAAGGCAAAGGGUCGAGGGGGAGCUGAUGCCUAUCUCCAGCAUUCUACAGGUGAGAGGCGGGGUCUACCCUGGACAGGUUGCCAGUCCAUCGCAGGGCAACACAGAGAUACACAGGACAACCAACCAAGCACACACCUAUUAAUAUCUAAUGGCCAUUGAGAGACACUAAUUAACCUAACAGUCAUGUUUUUGGACUGUGGGAGGAAGCCAGAGUACCUGGAUAGAACCCAUGCAUGCACGGGGAGAACAUGUAAACUCCAUGCCGAAAGACCCCCAGCCGGGAGUCGAACCCAAGACCUUCUUGCUGCAAGAUAAACAUGGAGUUUUGACGAAAAUUCAAUCUGGAAGACUCACCUCCACCACCGGCUCUGUCCUAUGACUCCAUCAUGCGUCUCCGCUCCAACCAAUCAGCAUCAAGUCUGCAUUCCUCCUCAGCCAAUCACCCUUCAAGGCUUUGCUUUUAAGGACCUCCAACCAUGGAUCUCCCUGCUCUCCAGCCGAGCUUUGAUUCUCCUUCUAAACAUCAAUGAGAUAGUCCUGCCUGUAACCCGCUCCCACAUCACCCGGCCGUUUCCGGCAGCAGCUUCUCUUCUAGCAAUCAUCUGGCACCCCAGGCUUCCACGUCUUCUUCUACUCCGGUUGUCCCUCAAUCCUCCCUGCUUCGAUCAUUCUGUUCAUGGGCUCUCUCCAGCGCUCAAUAUCAUCCAUUACUCAGCUUCUUCAGAAGUUCGCUUCCAACUCUGCCACGUCAGCACUUCCUCGUCUCCGCUCUGCCGACAUUCAACCCGCUCCAUGGCCCUCCCACUGUCAUUCACCUUCGCAACACUCAUCCUGGCUCGUCUCUAAGGGUGAGAUGUAUCACUUCAUUCUCUUUUCUCAACUGUUUCCUCAUUCAUAUGGCCUUCAGGACGCUGUGUUUCCCACUCCUCUUUUCAGGUAGAUCAUAUACUCCUACGCAUUCUAACAUCUCACUCAGGCUCUGCUCCAAAAUCCUUCAGGGGCAGCUCAUUAAUCUGGUUUCUCUCAUUGUUACCAUCUCCUGCGGUUGACCCCUGUGUCACUUCCCCUGAUGGGUGUACUGCUAUGUUUGAAUCAUCUCAUCCCUGCCUUUCUAACAAUCUCCCUUUUGGCAAGCUUGUACCACCUUUAAGCAUUUCAGAGAUGUCUUCUGCUCUUAACCCCAUAGAAUAAGCUUGAUCCCAUCCGUCCCUCAUCGUCAACCUAGAUUUCAAACAUGGCUUCCAAAUUUUUCUAUCAUAUCAUAAAUCCUUCUCUGCCAAGCUGCAUCCACCCUCACUCAAUCAGGAGUCUGCCUAGACUGGUUUAUUCUCACUACUGAAAUUUUAUCAUGAUUCCUGCGGCUCAGUUAGCCAUCAGAAUGCUCUUUGUUCUUCUCUUCUUUUUUUUCCCAGCACUCCUGCCCAGCAAAUUCAAGCUGCUGGCUUCCCACUCCAGUCUCCUUACGAAUUGGAAUGGUAUCUCUUUCUUUUACGGCGAUGUCAUUCUCCCGGCUGAUGUCGUUCUCCCGGCUGACUGAUUUCAGUUUUUAUGGUCUCUAGUCCCAGUCCAAAAGUUGGCCUCUCGAACGGAUGGUGCACAAUCCUUUGUUGACAAAGCCUUGCAUGUGAACACAUCAUUAGACCUAAGAAUAUACAGAACGUAAUAGCUUAGUAACUCUAACAAUAUGUUGCUUUUAACUUAGGCUUCCUUUUUUCCCUUAGCAUUUACCAUAAAUGACUUAUUUACCUUAAAUUAUUCCAACCCCCUUUCAUCGUUCACAAUUUUUCCCUGUUUUACCACGUAUAUUUAUUAACCUAUAAAUAUUGCCUUCUUUAUUUCCUCUGUAGCAUUUAACAAAAUAAUGCAACACAUAAUAUUUCAAUUGUCUGUGACUUUACUUAGCUUAUAAUAUUGAAACUAGUUAAAAUAUAACAGCAACCUGUUUGCUCCGUAGAAUAUCUAAAUAUUCAUUUAUGCAUUCGAACAUUUAUACCAACCUUGUUCCCUUAUCAUCCAGGUGCUAAGGAUCAUUUACUGUUUCGAUACAUCUUAACUAUAUCCUUUCCCGUUAAAAUCAUGGUGCACACUUUCUCUCGGCAGACCAGGUCGGCGCAGCUCUGUUCAGCUUGCGACAAUCGAUUUACAGCACCUUCCUGGACUAAGUGUUUUCACAGUAUAACCAUUGACUGUAUUACUGACGCAGCAGAACAACAAACUCGUAUGAAACAAUUUAUGAACAGACAAUAUUUCACGGACGUAGCUCUUACCUCCAUCGAAUCCUGACAGGCCUGUCAUGUUCCAGGUUAUUCUAAUUCAGUCACUAAUGCCCUGUCUCGUUUAAAAUUUUCAGGUAUUCUGCCGUCUCUGUCCAUCAGCCUACUUUCACCCUUCUCCGAUUAUUCCACUCUCUCCUUCCUCCGUUGCAAUCAGUUUAACAUUGCUGUAUCUCAGGUCUAGCUCCUUCCACUUUCAAACCCCAUUCCUUCACCUGGCAAACCUUUGUAAAUUUUGCCUUGCUAUAACAUCAUCGUACCCGGUUCACAUUCAAACAGUCCUAGCUUUCAUUACUCAUCGUUUUGAACAUUGUCGUUUCAAGCUCCCCUACAUCCGCAGCCUAUUAGCGGGCAUCAAUUUUUAUCAAAAGAUCAUCUUUCUGAGCCCACGCCGAGCUUUUCACUCUUCACGCAAUAAAAUUUCUUCUCAAAGGCAUCUCAAAUCAUUGCAUUCCACAGCCUGACUCCCAGAGAUCUAUUACACUUACCCUGUUAAAAAAAAAAAAGAAAAGACCCUUAUGAUUGUUUUUUAACUUAUUUCAAAUAUCUUCUCUCCAGUGCCUUCCUCAUCGCCUUAUUCAGCUUUCUUGGACUAAGCGAAUUCAUUCGUGCCAUCUAGAGAUUCAGCCUUUUCAGACCUCAAGUUCUAUCGGUCCAUUUCAAACUUUACUUAAAAAAAAAAUCAAAGGUCCAUGUUUCAUUUCCAUAGCUCACCUCGAUGGCCUGUUUUGUCCUUUCCAAGCCAUGUUCUCAAACGUCACAAAUCAGCUCACCCUUCAUGCCCUUUUUCCUUACUCCAAAAGGAGUUCUCAUGAUUGCCUCCUGGUUUCUCAAAUUUGUGAGGCAACCUUUAGUUCAAUGCAACCUUCCCCUUAGUCAGUUCACAGGUCACUCAUUUAGAAUCGGGGCAGCCACUUCAGAAGCUACCCAAGGAGUUUCCACAGCUUCUCUACAACAACUUAGCCGCUGGUCGACUUCAGCUUUCUCUUCAUAUGUCCGCCUAAGCUUCCAUUUUGUGCUCUGCUCAAUAAUCUAUCAGCUCUUAGGUAAGAGUUUCUGCAUUAACUGGUGGUGGUUGGCCUUUUCAGUUUAAACUUAUUGUUGCUUAUCCUUCUUGCACGACCAAGUCUCUCUCUGCCCGCCUCGUCAGGUUUACCAAGUUCCCAUCCUCUUGCUUGUCAGCUAUCACUUAUUUUCUUCCUUCACCUGCCGGGCUUGCCCACGUCCGCCAAGCCUAGUCAGAUUCAUCAUAUCCCAUCCACGCCUCAUCCGGUGCGUUCCACCCUAAGCAGUUUAUUCCAUUCUCUCUCCAGCCAGUCUGCUUCAUCCUUCUCCUUCUCUCGUUAGGCUCAGCUUGGCUCUUACUCACUUUGUUAUGUUCCCUUUCCCUUUGGCCAGAUUCAUGUCCUUCCCCUUCUUCACCUGUCAGGCUCUUAUCAUCCUCCCCCCCCCCCCCCCCUUCUCCUCCAUUCAUAUCUCUCUUUGCUCGACCUUGGCUUGGCCUCGGUUUUUGGGGGGGUGACAUAUCUAAUCCUAACUCCAUGAUGUUCAAGCCCUCUAUGGGUUUCAGGUUAAGUGUAGUUACUUCCUCUAAUAACUUCCGUUCCAUCUAGAUAUUUAGUGUUCUCAGACUUAAAGUUCUAUCCUGAUCAUUUCAAACCCCAUCUCAAUAUACCAGGCUAGGCCCACGUUUAAUCUCUAUUGUUCGCUUUGAUGACCCGUUCAACUAAUUUCAACCCAUGCUCAAAUUCGCACUCAAACAUCACCCAUUAUGCCCCUCUUUCUCACUCCAGUAGGAGCCCUAUGUCUGCCUUCUGGUUCCCCAUAUAUUUUAGACAGACUCUAAUCCAAUGCAAUCUGCCCCCGGUCAGUUUUCUAGCCAUUCAUUUAGAAUUUGGGCAGCCAUUACUGCAACCACCCAAGGAGUCUCAACAGCUUCUGUUCAACAACUCGGCGGCUGGUCAUAUUCAUCCUUCUCAUCCUAUGUCUGUUCAGACCUCUCUGUUUUAGCUGCCCAAAGAUCUCUCAGUUCUUUGGUUCUUCGUCAGCAUCUGUCAUCCUCAUUCAUUCAUUCUCUCACCGCCUCAUCAUCUCUUCAUUCUCCCCUUCAUCAGGUUCAGCUGCGUCAUCGUCCUUCUGUCUAAAUCCGGCUCAUACCUACGCAGGCUCACUCACCACAUGCAUACCUAUGCCCAUUCUCCAUUCUCAUGCGGGCUUACUCACCUGCAUCCAUUCAUCAUUUUCAUGCCUUCGUGGCUCAGUACAUUCUACAUCCCUGCAUGAUCUAUCAUUUCACACCUACGCAGACUCUGUCACCAUUCUCUUGCUAUGUAGAUUCAUCUAUCAUUCUCUUGCCUUCGCAGGCUCACUCACCAGCAUCCAUGCAGCACUCUCCUGCCUUUGCGGCACAAUUCAUUUAUCAUUCUCAAUGCCUUCAUGUCUCGACCUAUCAUUCGCAUGCCUCUGCUGUCUCAUUUUCCUCAGUACCUUUGCGGCUCAACUUCAUCCCCUGUCCACCUUUGUAACUCUGUCCUUCAUCUAUUCAACUCGAUUCAUCUUACCCAUCCCCGCUUGUCAGACCAGAACUACCAUAUAAUUUAUUUCAGCCUCGGCCCUUUUUUGAGGGGAAGACAUCUCUAAUCCUAAAUCAUUCAUUCAAGUUCAUGUCAUUCAUAGCAUUCAUGUCUUCCUCCGGGGUCCGAGCACCAAAGAAAUAAACAUCUGCUAUUUAACUUCUCUAAUCGGCAUCUUGCGUUUUUAUUGUGAGUCUUUACAGGAUUGAAAUAGAGUUUUAACAAAAAUUCAAUCUGGAAGGCUCACCUCCACCACUGGCUCCGUACUAUGACUCCAUCAUGCGUCUCUGCUCCAACCAAUCAGCAUCAAGUCUGCAUUCUUUCUAAGCCAAUCACCCUUCAAGGCUUCCCUUUUAAAGGACCUCCAACCAUGGAUCUCCCUGCCCUCCCACUGAGCUUCGACCCUCCUCCACCCCAUCACCACAAUCUGGCUUCCCAGCGCUUUCCAACUCCCUUAUUAUCGGGCCUCCACUCUAUCACCAGUAUCGGAUCCUGGGGGGGGGGAAGACAUCUCUAAUCCUAAAUCAUUCAAUCUCAUGUCAUUAAUGGCAUUCAUGUCUUCCUCUGGGGUCCGAGCGCCAAAGAAAUAAACAUCUGCUAUUUUACUUCUCUAAUCGGCAUCUUUGUGUUUUUAUUGUGAGUCUUUACAGGAUUGAAAUUAUAUUUCAUACCAUUUUAGCAGUACAGUUGCAUGACUUUAUAUAACUGAUGUACUGCAGUAGCCUAACUGAUAAUGGGUAAAUUAGACUAGGGCAGUGUUUGUGUCUGUGGAUAUCUGAAUGUAUACAAUGACAGAUAUAUUGCUAAAAAUGCUGAUGUACUUUCAAGCACUUUUUAUCAUCACUUGUAUCAAUAAACACAAUAGAAAUUUAGAUGGCAUUUUUAUUAUAUAUUGCCCAUCAAUUAAUGAAUAGACUUUAUUAAAAUUUAGAUCCGCAUUUUGCAAAAAUGCAAGGAUUAAAGUUAUGUCUUCUUUUUCCAUCCGUAUUCCGAUCUGGAAACUACUAAAAGAAAAAAAAAAAAAAAAACAUACAUAUAUUUCCUGACUGAGCAGAAACCCUGUCAAUGCUGAUCUCCUCAUUGCAGGAACAUGAGGAGACUCAAAUCGAGCUGAAAAUGAAUUGAAAAUUGGACUCCAUUUUAAACUUGCCAGGUGGUUAAUUUGGGGAAUUUAAAAUGGACGCAGGAGAGAUAAACAAAUUAUUAAAAUUAAUACAAAUGUUAUUAGUUUCUGCUCAGUGUGCUAGGCCCUGUCCCUGCUCAUCACCACAUGAAAACUGUGUUGUUGAUGAGAAAAACAGAAAUCCAGUCGCUUCCACUGUAAAGUCUUUUUUUUAUGCGUUCCUGCUGAAUCUGUGUGUGUGUACAUGAUGACCAAUAACUGGGUGAAAAAUGAUGAAUGUUAAAUGCCAACAGUUAGUUACAUGAAGUACAUUUAUAUUACUCUUCUACUAACUUUUUAAAUACCAGAACAGACAGUUUUCUCCAGCUGUAUGGACCAAAGAGCAAAACAGCACAACUCUUCCCACACCUGUUGCUGCCCACUGCCAGUCAGCUGACCUGAAAGAAGACUGCUACACUUCCUCCCUGCUUAUAAGAAAGAUAAAUCCUAAAGGAUUUUCAAUCGGGAAAAACACAGACAUUCAUGGUGUGGAUGGUAAAAACAAGUUCCACCGAUCUCUUUCAUUAAGCUAACGCGGUUUGAGAACCAAAGUGGGGAAACUACAAGCUCAGGCUGCCAACCCAACUAAAAUGAAAAAUUACCUUCAUGAUAUCAGCUUGCUAGACUCUUAUUCUCACAUUGAAACAAGCAGAAUGGUACAACAAAUAUAAUGUUCUGCACAGUGUUAUAAUGUCCUGGAUUGAACAUUGAACAUUUCUUAUGCCCGCUUAUUCAAUACAGGGUCACGGCAGAACUGGUGCCUAUCUCCAGCGGUCUAUGGGAGUGAAGCGGGGUACACCCUGGA